GACGAACGCUGGCGGCGUGCUUAACACAUGCAAGUCGAACGGAAAGGCCCUGCUUGCAGGGUAUUCGAGUGGCGAACGGGUGAGUAACACGUGGGUGAUCUGCCCUGCACUUCGGGAUAAGCCUGGGAAACUGGGUCUAAUACCGGAUAGGAGCCAUUUUUAGUGUGAUGGUUGGAAAGUUUUUUCGGUGUAGGAUGAGCUCGCGGCCUAUCAGCUUGUUGGUGGGGUAAUGGCCUACCAAGGCGGCGACGGGUAGCCGGCCUGAGAGGGUGGACGGCCACAUUGGGACUGAGAUACGGCCCAGACUCCUACGGGAGGCAGCAGUGGGGAAUAUUGCACAAGGGGCGCAAGCCUGAUGCAGCGACGCCGCGUGGGGGAUGACGGCCUUCGGGUUGUAAACUCCUUUCGCUAGGGACGAAGCUUUUUGUGACGGUACCUAGAUAAGAAGCACCGGCUAACUACGUG
rnacentral:rRNA from 1 species